rnacentral:lncRNA from 1 species
GGGUGAUUUAUGUAGGUUUUAAAAAUGUGUGAAUAAUUCAUAUAAUUUCACUAAAACUUUAAGGUGUCAGUGUAAUUUACUCAAAUUUAAAAGAAUGAAAGUGAUUUAAUUCCAUUAUCCCAUCUCCUUAGUUUAUGUUGGGUUUUACAGAUGCUUUGAUAUCCUCUUUUACUGGUUGUAACUUUUCUCUCCUUAUAAAGACUAAAUAAUUUCCAUUGAGCUAUCGUUUGGUUGUUUAUUUAUCUAGACACAAGAAUUAUAUAGGUGAACUUUACUAGAAAAGAAAAGAGUUUAUUGUUACUUCAGAAUUAAUUUGAGAUGAAACGUGUUACGAAAUCUGGUUAUCUAAUGGUUAUAUCAUAGAUUCGUAUUAGCUAUAGUACAUGUGACACGUGUGGUAUAAGAUAUAGUCCAAUGUCAUCCCACUUUAGAUAUUAAUAGAAUGUGUGAUGAUAAUAUAAAAGUAUAGAAAUCUAAUAUAUAACAUGUCAUUACCUAACAUGUAUGUGAAUGUCCUUGUUGGGCUGUCUACAAGGCCACAUAGGAUUAUCAAUAAACCUCUUAAACUCAAAGAUUAUAUCUUGGAUAAUUAGAUUAGAUUUAAUAAGUUUAUAUCUCGGAUAAUUAGAUUAGAUUUAAUAAGUUGUUAGGAUUAUAAUUUUCAUAUCCGUAAUAUAUCUUUCUUAAAUAAGGAUGCUCAAGAGUAUCUGGCCCAUAGACUCAAUUUCUCUAUUUAAGUGAUGAUCAUCCACAUUAUGAGGAUAUAAAAAAACAAGUACUUUCUUUUACAAUUCUGAGUUUUUCUUUAGAUUCUUAAAUUUUUAUUAUUCUCCUAGGGUUAUAACCCUAACAUUGAUGCUUUCAUUGUUGUCUUCAUGCCUCCCAAAUCAAAUUCAACUUCUUCUUCCUCCCAUUCCAAUAUGGAGGAAACAUCUAACAGUGCGGUCCUUGCACAACUAGCAUCUCUGGAACAACACCUUUCGGACAGACAAGAGAUGAUGCAAGCUUCUAUGGAGGCUCGCUUGGAAAACAUGCUGACCGGACUGGUGGAGAAACUGGCAAACCUAGGCACUACAAACACACACUCUCCACAACAACUACCAAUUCAUGGAUCUCAACCCAGACCCCAACACCCAUGUACGUGCCAGGAUAUUUCCCACCACCAAGUAUGAUUAAACCACCCAAAUUACAUGUCCAACAAUUUGAUGGUUCAAAUCCUCAAGAUUGGGUAUUUCAAGCUGAACAAUAUUUCAAUCUUUAUCAAGUGGCACAUAUCCAACUAGUGGAAUUGGUUGCUUUUUCUAUGAAAGGAGAUGCUUUAAGUUGGUAUAAAUGGAUGUUUAAUACCAAUCAACUUACUAGCUGGGAAGCAUUCACAAAGGCCUUGCUCAUUCGCUUUGGGCCAUCUACGUUUGCUAACCCCCAAGCGGAAUUGUUUAAACUAUGACAAACAACUACCGUUACAGAGUACCAAACCCGAUUUGAACGUCUUUCAAAUCAGGUGGUUGGACUACCACCAGAGAUGGUAUUGAAUUGUUUCUUAUCCGGGUUAAACCCUGAAAUUGCAAGGGAGUUAGCACUACAACAAUCGUUUUCAGUUACUCAUGCAAUUGGAAUGACAAAAUUGGUUGAAAGCAAAAUUAAUGCUGCUAAGACAAACCUGUGGCGCUCAACACGUGCAACUGUAUCAGUUGCAAACAAUCAGAACGUCGCUACGAUGACUCAACCACCACCAAAUCAAACUCAUGCAUCACUACCAAUUAAACGCCUUACUGCAGCACAAAUGCAAACGAGGAGAGCUCAAGGACUAUGCGACAAUUGUUAUGAAAAAUAUAUUACAGGACAUCGUUGCAAACCUCAACAAUUCCUAUUACUCUUAAUUGAAGAUCCUACUGAUAAUUAUCACAACUUGGAACCUUUAGACAACAUUUCCAACCUCAGUUACGAACAAGAAGUCCCCGCCGAUAACAAGGUGAUUCACUUCCACCUCUCUGACCAAGCUUUCUAAGGCAAUCCAUCGCCCAAAACUCUAAAACUUCAGGAAACUAUUUUGGGUCACAAGGUAACAGUUUUAGUGGAUACAGGAAGUUCACAUAAUGUUAUGCAACCACGUGUCGCACAAUUUCUACAACUUCCUAUAUCACCCACACCAAAAUUCCCUGUAAUGGUGGGGAAUGGUGAACGCACCUACUGUACAGGCUUGUGCAAAGAGACGCCAAUCAACUUGCAACAACAACUAUUUACUAUUCCAUUUUAUUUAUUACCUAUUCAAAGAGCAGAUGUAGUAUUGGGAAUAGAAUGGUUAAGCACAUUGGGGCCAGUAACUUCAGAUUUUUCAGUUCCAUCCAUGACGUUCACUCAUGAUCACAAGCCU